GGCUGCGGUCCAGGCGCUGGGACCCGCCAUGGGUCUCUUCCUCCAUCACGAGGGGCAUCGUGAUACUGUUUUUGAGAGCCUGCCCUGUCUCCUGCAGCAGUACGGGGCAGGGGUCGACAACCUUCAUGUCACCGUGAGUCUGAGCCGGGUCUUGGAGGUGGCCUAUGAUUUUCAGGUGCCUCUCCCUGACGGGACACUCGGGAUCGUCUGCCUCGCCCUGCACGACCAGGUAAGGGACGGCCGGUCCUGUACCGCUCAUCCUGGGCCCAGCAGGUCCAAGUCCCGUGAACCCGAUAGGGCCAGCUGAUGGCCAUGCAAAGCCCCACUCUGCUGGUGAGCUCUCUGCUUGCCCAAGAAGAAGAAAACAGGCUGUGGCCUCCUAGUCUCCCCUCAGUCCAGUUCAAAUCCCUGGAGCAGGUGCAUGCAAAUCCCUUUUCCUCGCGAGUCGGACCCAGAACGAUCCCCGCCUUGGCACGAGUCCAGCCAAGAGCAGCCGUGCUGCUGAAGGGACUUGGAAGCCAGGAUCCCCUCUGGUUUAUGGUCUUGACCUUUGUGUUGUUGGCUCUUGCUGUGGUGGCAGUGAUGUCUCCUGGGGCUCAGGAAAACUCUGGUUCAAGUCAUGGAAAGUGGGACUUGCGGAUCCACGCCACACUUUCAUCCCCAUGCAGAUGGGACUGUGGAGCAUCCCUUCCCUUCCCUUCCCUUCCUCCCACAGGUGUGUGAUUACGCGCAGCUGCCGAGACCAGAGAACCAUGCCAAGGUGUUGUACUGUCUCGGUCUGCUCGGUAAGGACGAGAGAGUCCAGGUGCCACGGGGGUUUCCUUCGCACCUCCCUGCACCGGACCAAACCCUGAGGGGGAACGGGAACGAGGAGCGCUGAGCUCACCAGGGUUGUGCUCUUCUCCCCACAGCCUCUCUCUCCCCAGACCAAUUUAUUUCUUUUGUGGGCUCCUGGCUCCAGGCCGACAAGGAGGCAAGCCGUGUGGCGUCCCUCUCCAUCUUCAGUGGCAUCCUUGCUGCUGACCUGCCGGAGAUGCGGGAGAAAAAAUGUGACAUGGUGCAGGCCAUGAGGGGCACGCUCGGCAAUGAGAGCAUUG